AUUAGCACCAGCAUCCCAUGCUGGUCAUACCAGCAUAUGUUGUGUUUUGGUGCUGGUAUGCUGGUGACCACCAGCAUAGACCAGCAUAAUUCCCAUGCUGGUUUGAUGCUGUUUUUUUCAGCAGGGUUAUCAACAUUAGGGUAACUUAACGUGGUCAUUGCUUUAUUGUGUGAGCUUAAUAUAGUCUAAAGUUUUAAUAUUUGUCUUAUAAUAUUUGUAAGAAAAUAGGAAUCCCCACUAUUGGGGUACACUAUUUAAGCCUUAUAUUAGAGCUAAUUUACAUUACAUAAUAAACAUUUUCUGUUCUCCCUGCAGAUCCUGUCAAUCGAAUCACCUGUUACAACUUAGAUUUAUUUUAUAAACCCAAAGGCACUUUUAAGAGCCAUUGUUUACUACACAAAGCCAUAGUUCACUGACAAGCUGGGCCAUAUCGCAUACAUAUCGCAGGCGAUAAUUAAUGCGAAAUUGCCCCGGUUGUCAGGUAACUAUGGCUUUGUGUAGUAAAUGCUGCUCCAUCUCAAAGCAGGUGAUGUUGGUGUACUACUAAUCAAAGAACCGGCUUUACUGACGAGAUGCGCAUGACAAUCACGUGUGAUUUAUCGUGCAGCCCUGCUUGACAAACUCCAUGCUACUGGAUACAAGCCAGUUCUGCUUCGUUAAAAGGAGACCAAGAAGCAAAAUAUUAAGUGUGAGAGAUUAUCGCCUAUGCCCAGGACUACCUUCAGAAGAUCGGUUCCUUUUAUGAAUACCUUUGUGAAGGCUCACAGCACUACCCUUGUAAUGACUGAACGAUCAUCUGGGAUGUCCACAUAGAGAGAGAGGUUAGAAUUGUGAUUGUAUAUCAGUAUUUUUGUUUGUUUCCUCAGCAUCUGAUAGAGCUUUUGGACCCGGAAGCGGUGCUGUGUGAUGUCAGAAAAACAAGCGGAUGGGAUUUGGUACCCAUAGUUAACUUGGUUCAAGCAUACCUGAAUACAUACUAUGUUAACUUAGGAAUUAUUAUGUUUGGAAUGU